AUACCUUGGGCAAGUGGACUGUCGAUGGGGAGCAGUAUGCUGCUGACCACCACAUUGAAAAUAAUGCCAUUUCCAUUUACCACCCGGAAUGUCUUCAAGAUAUGGCCAAUGACCUGAGACUACCGCCUGCUAUCGCUUUACCUUUUUUUUACAUGAAUCAAAUUGCUAUGUAUCAAUCUCAAAAACAUUUAUGCAUUGAAGUAAAAUUUGGCAAAUAUUUUUCUUGAAAUAUUCUUUGAAAUAAAGCUAAAUGAGCAUUGCAG